rnacentral:lncRNA from 1 species
GUAGGGAAGGAGGCAGUGCAGGAGCAAGAAUAAGAGUGAAUACGGCAGAGAUGAGGACGGCACCUCCACCACCCUUCCCUGGCCCACAGGCUCCUGUGCUGCCACUUUCGGGUCCCGGACGCUGAAGGAGCUCUGGGUGGCGCUGCUGGGGUGAGCCGGGGGGAUGCUCCAAGCACAGCCGGACAGGGGGACACAGCUCAGCUCCCCAGCUGGGGAGAGGUGCUUGACAAGAGAGAAGAGGCAGCUUGGGGCUCACCCAGCUCUCUCCUGUCCCUUCCUGGUGCCAGGACACCAGAAGGACCAAGCGGAGCCUGCGUGACUCGGUUCCCAUCUACCAAGGAGCUGAGCCGCCGCCGCACCGUGAGUGCCCCCCGGCCUGGGCUCUGUCCCUGAGCACUGACCUCCAGCCCAGCAGCAGCGGCAGCGCUGCUCACCUUCUGCCCCUCCCCUCUUGCCCAGUGGAGGACGCUCAGCGCAGGGAGCCUGGAGAGGCUGCUGGAGCGACAGGCAAAGGACCAGAGUCACUCAAGCUCCACCCUGAAGGUGAAAAAUAGUACAAAAGUGGCUGAAGGAAUGGGGAUAUUAUGGAAGACAUCAUCGUGGACGAGUCGAGGAAGAUUCCAUCAGCAGAUUACCCUUGACUCCUAGGAUUGGUCGAUGGGCUGGACAUUUCUUCCCCCCCAUAGGGACGCCUUUGGGUAAGACUGGGAAACAAUCAUUACAGAUGCAAACACACUACCUAUGAGGUGGCCUGCACAGAGGUCCAAGAGCAAGACUUUGGUUAUGUAUAGCCCACUGUACAUAUAAAUUGUUUAAAAUGGUACCCCAUUAGACGGUGGCAGGAGAUGUUACCUGCUUUUGUACAGUCAGGUAACUUCACUUUCGAUUAUUAUCCCCCAAAUAAAAAAAUGCUUUCUAAAGUUACUCUACCUACGAAAUUACAUUGUACUGACAUAAAGUAUCCUUUUCCCUCUCUGAAGAGAGCAUUUCCAGCAGGCAACAACAAAGACAACUGAACUUGUAAGGUAUGCCGGUGAUCAUUUGAACAUUUUAACAUAUGUAUCUUUCUCAAGUCCCCCAAGUUAUGCGUAUCUCUUUAAAACUGGCUUGUCACAAGUAAUAACACCUGCAAAAAGAAAAUUUGCUCGGUUCAAAUUCUACACCUUUUAGAAAAAUUAAUCAUGUAUAAUAAAAUGUGAUUUCUUUUGUGCAAG